rnacentral:misc_RNA from 1 species
CUCGCAUUCCCAUAUCUUCGCUUCAAUCGUCUUGCCCUUUCAGAGCUCAUGUCUUGGACCUGCAAGAGAUGUACUUUCAUCAACUCCCCAUCUUCAAAACCCACUUGUCAAAUCUGCCUAUCACCUGCUUCUCCUCCUCCUUCUUCCUCUUCUUCACCAGCUUCUCGUCAAGGCACCCCAAAAUGGUCUUGCAAAGCGUGCACUUUCUUGAACCCAUACAAGAACAUCACCUGUGAAAUCUGUGGC